AUGGAAGUUCUAACUACCACCAUUCAGAAUCGAGAACAAUAUAAAAAUUUUCCAUUGAGUGAACUUUCUCAUAGCAUACUGUCACAGGAUCAGUUGGCAAUGUCAGCUCCAAAUCACCAGUAUUCAAAAUUGACAAUCAAGCAGACAGAAAAACUGAACAAAAAUCAAAAACGAAAGGCUUACUCUAAAAAAUGGCACAAAGAAAUGGCUCUGAGGCAAUGUGUUGAUGACAAAAAACAGACAAAAAUGUAUGAUUAUAAAACAAGUUGCAAAUACAGGCAAAAACAUAAGCAAGCCAUGAAGAACAGCUACUGGAAUAAUAUGAUUUACAGAGAAAAACACAAACAAACAAUGAAACACAAUUACAAAAAUAUUAAUGAAUAUAGACAGAGAAAAAAAAGUAAGGUGACCAGCAGUUACAGGAAUAAUGAAAAAUUCAGGGAGAGACAGAAAAACUACAUAAUCAGAAAUUACAGAAGUGAUGAACAAUUCAGGCAGAGACAAAAGAACUACGUAAAUAAGAAUUACAGAAAUGAUGAACAAUUCAAGCAGAGACAAAAGAACUACAUAAAUAGGAAUUACAGAAAUGAUGAACAAUUCAGGGAGAGACAAAAGAACUACAUAAGAAAUUACAGGGAUGAUGGAAAAUUCAGGGAAAGACAAAAGCUCUAUAUGAGAAAUUACAGGAACAACGUUAAAUAUAUGAAGCCACACGUGCAAUAUAUUGUUAAUAGAUAUUUAAAAGAUCCUAUUUUUAGGCAAAGACAAAAGGACCAUCAUACAAACCGAUGCAAAAAUGAUCCUGAUUUUCAUAAAAAAAGGAAGGAACUUUUCAAACAGCGUUAUCAUUGUGAUGCACAUUUUAGGGCUCGUCAGAAAGAAUAUUUUUUAUUCAAAUCUGAAAACAAAAUAUCUACACUUAAGAUACUUCACAAAGUACACUGUGCACAAGACAUACAGUACAAAUACAAAAAAAUGUAUCCGAUGCACCAGCGGAGAGAAAUGUUACAAGAUAGCCAGCCUGACAUAGUAAAAGAUCCAAGCAUGUUGAGGGCCUUAAAUAUUUUCAGAGGUGUUAUAAAACAGGGGCCAACUUAUGUCUGCACAUGCUGUGCCAGAGCACUCUUCUCAAAUCAAGUGCGUAAAUGUGACAUGCGUAAUUAUAAAAAAAUCCAACAGUUGCUUCACUUUGCUUGA
ensembl:lncRNA